rnacentral:rRNA from 1 species
AAACCAGCACCUCAAGUGGUCAGGAUGAUUAUUGGGCCUAAAGCAUCCGUAGCCGGCUCUGUAAGUUUUCGGUUAAAUCUGUACGCUCAACGUACAGGCUGCCGGGAAUACUGCAGGGCUAGGGAGUGGGAGAGGUAGACGGUACUCGGGAGGAAGGGGUAAAAUCCUUUGAUCUCUCGAUGACCACCUGUGGCGAAGGCGGUCUACCAGAACACGUCCGACGGUGAGGGAUGAAAGCUGGGGGAGCAAACCGGAUUAGAUACCCCUGUAGUCC